UACAGAGGGUGCAAGCGUUAAUCGGAUUUACUGGGCGUAAAGCGCGCGUAGGCGGCUAAUUAAGUCAAAUGUGAAAUCCCCGAGCUUAACUUGGGAAUUGCAUUCGAUACUGGUUAGCUAGAGUGUGGGAGAGGAUGGUAGAAUUCCAGGUGUAGCGGUGAAAUGCGUAGAGAUCUGGAGGAAUACCGAUGGCGAAGGCAGCCAUCUGGCCUAACACUGAUGCUGAGGUGCGAAAGCAUGGGGAGCAAACAGG
rnacentral:rRNA from 1 species